AUGUUGGCGCAGGCCCAGAUGCACGCGAUGCUGGACCAGCUGAUGGGCACCUCCCGGGAUGGAGACACUACUCGUCAGUGAAUCAAAUUCAGUGAUGACAGAGUAUGCAAGAGUCACUUUCUCAACUGUUGCCCCAAUGAUGUGCUUUCUGGAACUAGAAUGGAUCUUGGAGAAUGUCUGAAAGUCCACGACCUGGCUUUAAGAGCAGAUUAUGAAAUUGCAUCCAAAGAACAAGACUUUUUCUUUGAACUUGAUGCCAUGGAUCAUCUGCAGUCAUUCGUUGCAUAUUGUGAUAGAAGAAUAAAAGUGGCUAAGAAAAGGUUAGCAGAAACUCAAGAAGAGAUUAGUGCUGAAGUAGCAGCAAAGGCAGAACGUGUUCAUGAGUUAAAUGAAGAAAUUGGAAAACUGUUAGCCAAGGUGGAACAAUUAGGAGCUGCAGGGAAUGUGGAAGAAUCCCAGAAAGUCAUGGAUGAAAUAGAGAAAGCACCGGCAAAGAAGAGAGAAGCAGAGGAAGUUUAUCAGAAUUCUAUGCCAGCUUCCAGUUUCCAACAGCAGAAGCUUCAAGUCUGUGAAGUCUGCUCUGCCUAUUUAGGUCUUCAUGAUAAUGACAGACGAUUGGCUGAUCAUUUGGGGGGUAAACUACACCUGGGAUUUAUUGAAAUAAAAGAGAAGCUUGAAGAAUUAAAGAGAGUGGUAGCUGAGAAGCAGGAGAAAAGAAACCAAGCCUGAAACGAAGAGAAGAAAGGGAGAGAGAAGAAAGGGAGAAGCUGAGGAGGUCCCGAACACAUAGCAAGAAUCCCAAAAGAUCCAGGUCCAGAGAGCAUCGCAGACAUUGAUCUCGCUCCACGUCAUGGGAGUGCAAGAGGGGAACUCAAUCCAAAUCUCGGGAGAAACGCCAUCGCCACAGGUCCCGCUCCAGCAGCCGCAGUAGCAGCCGCAGCCACCAGAGAAGUUGGCAUAGUUCUAGAGAUAGGAGCAGAGAACACUCUAAGAGGAGAUCCUCAAAAGAAAGAUUCAGAGACCAAGACUUAGCAUCAUGUGACAGAGACAGGAGUUCAAGAGACAGAUCACCUCGUGACAGAGAUCAAAAAGAUAAGAAGCGGUCCUAUGAGAGUGCUAAUGGCAGAUCAGAAGACAGGCAGAGCUCUGAAGAGUGUGAAGCAGGGGAGAUCUAACUAGCGGUGUACAUAUCUUCAAUCCUUAAGCUUCCCGUGGAGUUACAUACAUUGUUUAGUUUACAGCUGUUCAGGGUGACAGUGAGCAGAUCCCAACACCGAGCCAGCUAGGCUAGAUGGACAGUAUCUAACUUGAUCUGAACUGAACCUGUUUUCCUUGUUGAAGCCUAAAACGGCAUCCAUAGUUUCUGGUGAAACUAUAAUACCAUUCUGAAAGUACCGUUUUAUAUAAUAAGACACUGAUCUCUUUAUUCUUUCAAGUAGGAGUGAUAGUGAACAAACUGUGUUAUUUGCCUUGGGAUUUUCUGAACAUUUGUAAAAUGCUGUCUGCCUUUCUAGUCCAAACAGCAGCAGUUUGGGAAUUGUUCUUUUUAAUUAUUCUUCUUCUGACUUGUAUCCCUGAAUACCUGCACCCUCCAAUCAUUAGAGAAAAGGGACAGGGAAACAAUAUAGCUUCUGUUCUAAGGUUAUAUUCCCAUUAUUAAGUUGCUGAUUACAGUUCAGAGCAUUCAUACUGGAAUGUGUGCUGGAGAAAUUGAUAAU